GAAAGCCCAGUCGGACCAGGGCUGUGCUGACAACAACGGACCCAUUGACCUGAUGGAGGAGGUGAGGGACAUCGAGGCUCACCUGAAGGAGGAGGCCUGGAAGGUGGUACAUGAGGUGAAGGCCGUGGGCAGGAGAAGUUUGGGCUCGGCCAUGUCCACAGGGGAAAUAGCCACCAGCUCUCUGGGAAGACUGAGCUCAGUGGAUAUGAACACCCCUGCUGAGCUCCGUGACUACUUGUAUGUUGGGACCCCGGGCAAAGUUGCGUGACAGCCCACCCAGGCCUGCCCCCCCCUCCUAUCAAGCCCAGGAGCAAACUGCCUCGGCCUAUAAGGUUCCUUAGCUUGCCAAAGGCUGCCACCGGCUCAGACAAGAUGGCAGCCAGUGAGCCAAAGGGUCAAAUUAAGAACCAGGCCAGAUUGCAGCCCCUGUCCAACCCAGAGCAGGCCCUGACUAAGACCUUCAAGCUGCUCCACUCUGCCUCUGAUGACUGGGAGAAGAAGAUCGAGGGCUUGACCUCUCUCCGUGUGAUGGCUCAGAACCACAUGGACAUAC